UACGGGGGGGCAAGCGUUGUUCGGAAUUACUGGGCGUAAAGAGCGCGCAGGCGGUCGUUCAAGUCGCGUGUGAAAGCCCCCGGCUCAACUGGGGAGGGUCAUUCGAUACUGAUCGACUCGAAGGCAGGAGAGGGUAGUGGAAUUCCCGGUGUAGUGGUGAAAUGCGUAGAUAUCGGGAGGAACACCAGUGGCGAAGGCGACUACCUGGCCUGUUCUUGACGCUGAGGCGCGAAAGCUAGGGGAGCAAACGGGG
rnacentral:rRNA from 1 species